rnacentral:rRNA from 1 species
UACGGAGGGUGCAAGCGUUAGUCGGAAUUACUGGGCGUAAAGGGUGCGUAGGCGGAUAUGCAAGUCAGACGUGAAAUUCCGGGGCUCAACCUCGGAGCGGCGUUUGAAACUGCAAAUCUAGAGGAAUGGCGGAGAAAAUGGAAUUCCACAUGUAGCGGUGAAAUGCGUAGAUAUGUGGAAGAACACCUGUGGCGAAGGCGGUUUUCUAGCCUUCUCCUGACGCUGAGGCACGAAAGCAAGGGGAGCAAACAGG